rnacentral:rRNA from 1 species
GGAGUUAGCCGGUGCUUCUUCUGUGAGUGAUGUCCUUCCUGCCGGCUAUUAACCCGCAGGCCUUCUUCCUCACUGAAAGUGCUUUACAACCCGAAGGCCUUCUUCACACACGCGGCAUGGCUGGAUCAGGGUUGCCCCCAUUGUCCAAUAUUCCCCACUGCUGCCUCCCGUAGGAGUCUGGGCCGUGUCUCAGUCCCAGUGUGGCUGAUCAUCCUCUCAGACCAGCUACGGAUCGUCGCCUUGGUGAGCCGUUACCUCACCAACCAGCUAAUCCGACAUAGGCUCAUCCGAUAGCGCGAGGCCCGAAGGUCCCCCGNUUUCCCCCGUAGGGCGUAUGCGGUAUUAGCCUGGGUUUCCCCAGGUUAUCCCCCGACUACCGGGCAGAUUCCUAUGCAUUACUCACCCGUCCGCCGCUCGCCACCAGGGAGCAAGCUCCCCGUGCUGCCGCUCGACUUGCAUGNGUUAGGCCUGCCGCCACGCGUCAUCUGAGCAUGAUACAACUACUGA